UACGAGGGGGGCGAGCGUUGUUCGGAAUUAUUGGGCGUAAAGGGCGCGUAGGUGGAUUUGUAAGUCAAGUGUGAAAUUCCGGGGCUCAACUUCGGAACUGCACGUGAAACUACAAGUCUUGAGGAUUGGCGGAGAAAACGGAAUUCCACAAGUAGCGGUGAAAUGCGUAGAUAUGUGGAAGAACACCGGUGGCGAAGGCGGUUUUCUAGCUUAUUCCUGACACUGAGGCGCGAAAGCAAGGGGAUCAAACAGG
rnacentral:rRNA from 1 species